AGCCUCAACUGCUUGAGCUAAGAGCAAGCUCAGUGUUUCCUUCAAGCAGCAUCGUGGACAGAUUCCUGCCAGACCCUUCAGAGCAAGCACCCCACACCCCUAGCCCAGGGUCUCUUCAUCGAUAGGGGGUGAUCUGUCUGCCCCUCACUGUUUUCUCCAAAUAGCAUCUCCAAAUGGACUAGACUCGACAAGCAAACAGUCUGCAGUGGACCCCUUGGGUCAUCCAUUCUGAUGGAAACAGAAAUAGAAUUCCAGCCCGGUGGAGUGGAGAAGGCUCCAGGAGGGCGUCGGGCCCAACCACCUUGCGUUAUGGAGCACAGAGAGGGAUUCUGCUGUGGUCACAUAGCACCUAAGUGGUUGCAGCAGCCUCAGAACAGGCUGUCCUGCCUGAGUCGUUCCUCGUGAUCACUGCUGGCGUUUCUCCUGCUGGCCUUCAUGGCAAGGCUGAUGGCCAGGGCACACAGGAGCAACGGCACUGCUGGUCUAGCAAGUACCACUCUCUGGCCUGCUCCACAGCCCGGCCACAGCAAGGGAGAGAUAAGAUCUCACUAUAUUGCCCUGGCUGGUCUCAAACUCCCGUGUUCAAGUCAUCUGCCUGCCUCGACCUCCUAAAGGGCAAGCGGGAUUACAGCCUUCUCCACAGCCCAGCCACAGUGAGGGAGUCAUCAGCACUGGAACCCGGGGUCCACGGCCUUGGAGGAUCCGGACCCUCCGCAUUUGAGGAACUUGGCCUUCAGUCAGGGAGCCAAGAAGUCCCUGCCAAUCAAGGAGGGGGUGUGGGCUGGUGGGGGGGGGGCAGCCUUGGGGCACGGGAGCUGAUAGACCAGACUCAAGAGUUCUACUCCUGACUUCUAGAUUGUUCCACCUCCAUAUGGAAUAUGUUCCUUCCAUCUAACACUGUGUGAUUUGGGGACCAUCCAACUCAAAUGAAAGAAGCCAAGCCAUGCAGCGAGCCACCCCCUCCCCAAUGUGGGGUACCCCCUGCCCCCGCCCAGCUCCCCUGCCCUCCCAGCUGAGGGGGGAUCGCCGCCUGGUGAUCUCAGCCUCCCCUCCAAGUGGGCUGUGAAGUGUCUAAUCCAGGCUUUCAUCUGGCAUCCACAAUUAUAAUGUCAAGAUUGAAUAAUCUGCCUUUAUCUCCCGGGUGACAGCCAUGUAGAAACUUCAAAAGAAACAGUUUUGCUGGCAUCUAACGGCUUUUGUUAAUUACUAUAUCCCAAAGAAAAUGAAAUAAAGGAGGGAGAAAAAUGAUAUUUCUCUGUGACAACUUUGUAAAAAUAUCAGUGAUGAAGUGGUGCGGUUUAAGGGCUUUAAGUAUUCAUGCGGCUGAGAUGGGGCCUCUACCCUCCCGCUGGGAAGCUUAAGCGUGCCCGAGGGUGCAUGCACACACACACUCACACACUC
rnacentral:lncRNA from 1 species